GUGCGGCCGCCGCCGGCAGGGCCAGGUGGGGCUCCGGUCUCGCGCCCCCAGCCACCUGAGACUGCCCAGCCGCGGUGCACGCGCGGGGAGCCACGGCGGAUCCCGUUGCGGGGUGAUGAGCUCCGUCUUCGGGGUUGGAAAUCGGUUUCAGCAUCCUUUUUUUGGGAGGGCGGAAUUUUUGAACGCUGUUUACACCGGCUUUCAGCGUGGAUCUGGUGAACGAUAUUAAAACGCCAAUUCAAAACUGAGAUUGUCAUUUUUCUCCCGCCUUCCCAGAAAUACAAACUGCCCCCAGAAUUAAGCCCGACCAGCUAAAGAUUUCUAAACUGGCAGAUAAAAUUCCAAGAUAAAUGCCUCAAAACCUAAGAGCAAAGGGACAAUUGGACAAGACUAUUUAGGAUUUUACAAGUUGCAUAUAAUAACGAAUGUUUGGCAUGCUUCGAUUAUCAAUUCUCAGCUUGAGAAGGAAAAGAUUCCCUAGAAUCUCAGACUGUGCACAGCCUCUGCUACUCCCAGUGCAUUGGGCAUUCAGGAGUAAUGGCCCAGACGCCCCCUGAAAUCACCUGCCAGGCUUUCGUCUGGGCAGAGGCGCUCCAACAGUUAACCCUAAUGGAGCCAUCAGAUGCAUCCUGCCCAGCUGUCACACGCCCUUACCUGGAGGCAGAUGGGCAAGAAAGUGGAGCUGCUACCACAAUGUUAACAAGUACCUCAGUGACAUUGGAGUUCACUAGUGCUUGAACACAAGUUAUCAUAUUUGACACUCAAAACUACCCUGGGGAAAGGCAGGUUUUGUUACUUAUUCUUUAUUGCACAGAGGAGCAAAAUGAGAACCUGAGAGGUUAAUGACUUACCCAGGGCCACUCAAGUAAUGAAUAGCAGUACCUCAGCCCAAUCCAGGUCUCUGACUUAAGCCACUCCGCUCCUUCCAAGAAAUGCGCGCUGAACCAAAGGUGCUGCAGGUUUGUAAGUAGAUGGACAGCAGAAACAGCCAAAUCACUUUCUCCCAAAUUCACCUGAGGUCUAGUCACCGUUUAUUUAAAUGACCUGCUUCUAAGAACCAAGUGAGUUUUGUAUUCUGGC
rnacentral:lncRNA from 10 species